rnacentral:rRNA from 1 species
UGGGGAAUAUUGCACAAUGGGCGCAAGCCUGAUGCAGCGACGCCGCGUGAGGGAUGACGGCCUUCGGGUUGUAAACCUCUUUCGGUAGGGACGAAGCGCAAGUGACGGUACCUAUAGAAGAAGCACCGGCCAACUACGUGCCAGCAGCCGCGGUAAUACGUAGGGUGCGAGCGUUGUCCGGAAUUACUGGGCGUAAAGAGCUCGUAGGCGGUUUGUCGCGUCGUCUGUGAAAUCCCACAGCUCAACUGUGGGCGUGCAGGCGAUACGGGCAGACUUGAGUACUGCAGGGGAGACUGGAAUUCCUGGUGUAGCGGUGAAAUGCGCAGAUAUCAGGAGGAACACCGGUGGCGAAGGCGGGUCUCUGGGCAGUAACUGACGCUGAGGAGCGAAAGCGUGGGUAGCGAACA